GAUGAGGCCUCCUGAGGAUGUCCUAGAUGAGGAUACGUCUCCAUCAUCAUCGUGUGAAUCCCCUGGGACCAACAAGGCACAUGGUGGUCAGCAGGGACAAGAGCCCAACACUCCAAAUGUCCCUCCAUGAGUGGCACUCAUCAGGUAGAAGAAAAAGAGGAAGAAGAGAUGACUGUGGAUCAACCUGACCAACUGCAAGUUUGAGAGCGUGCAACACGCAGGUUUGGCCUGAAGGAGGCACUAGAGGGAGAGGACUGGUCAGUCUUCUGGACUGACAUCACAGUCUUUCUGGACCUCGGCAUGGCAAUGAAAUGCUACCAGCCAUUGGUCAUUGAUGGCUUCAAGUUUGACCUACGCAUCUACGUGCUGGUGAUGUCUUCGACCCCUUCCGUAUCUUCCUGUAUAAGGAGCGGCUGGCCCGCUUCUGCACCAGCCGCUACAACUCCACCCGCAACAAUGUGGUGUGGCACGGCACAAUGGGCACAACCACAGAAGGGGGAAUGAGCGGGCAACAUGUUUAACAUUGAAAUAAACAUGAGAUGUACACAAUGUCAUUGGUCUUUCGUGUUCAUACUGUGUAGUUUUGUUAGGGACCAUAGACAUGGUAACAUUUGUUUUCUGUCGGUAUUGACAUGUUGCAUAUCGUCCGUCUGUUGUAAGCGUGUUCAAGGGGACAGGGACAGACAGGAACACAAUCAAACACAGACACGCAG
rnacentral:lncRNA from 1 species